rfam:Enterococcus sp. 4G2_DIV0659 scaffold00001, whole genome shotgun sequence.
AUCAGAGUAGAAAAUAAAGCGUCAAGUGCUGAAAGGAUGGGAUGUUGCCUUUCGGACGAAGUAUGAAGUAAAAGAAACACGAACUAACUCUUCGGAAAAAAGAU